rnacentral:misc_RNA from 1 species
UAGUAUAUGGAAUUUUAUCAAUUCUAUAAACCCCACCUGUGUAUCUUGUAACUGUUGCUUCCAUGGGACCUGGACAUGCGUCCACAUCGGCCCCUCACGGCUGGUGAGCGCUCAUGGGAGGAGUCAUCCAACUCUUCUUUGAAGUGUAAUUUGUCUGAAUAUGUUACCAUAAACGUUA